rnacentral:rRNA from 1 species
UACGUAGGGGGCUAGCGUUGUCCGGAAUCAUUGGGCGUAAAGCGCGUGUAGGCGGCCCGGUAAGUCCGCUGUGAAAGUCGGGGGCUCAACCCUCGGAUGCCGGUGGAUACUGUCGGGCUCGAGUACGGAAGAGGCGAGUGGAAUUCCUGGUGUAGCGGUGAAAUGCGCAGAUAUCGGGAAGAACACCCGUGGCGGAAGGCGGCUGCUCUCGGGAGCGGUACUGACGCUGAGACGCGAAAGCGUGGGGAGCGAACAG